UGUCAUUUCAAUGGUGAAUUCCAUCAGGUUAUUACCUUCUGAGUCCUUUGGCAGAAAUGGUGCCAUUUAUUUCCUCUGGGUUGAAGAAUACGUUUAACAGAUGUUUCUAGUUUGUUAUUAACUCAUCUCUGUGGGUAGUGAUUGCAGCAGACCUGGGGACUAGUUCUAAGUGCCAUUAUCAGAGGGCCGCUUUCUUCUACUUUUCGUUUUCUCUUGCAUUGUCCUUGCCUUGUAUCAUGUUUCCAAAUUUAUCUGCAGAACACAUUUCUAAUGAACAGAUGAGGCCCAAAAUUAUAACUAUCUAGUCUGAAAUAAUGAAAUGUGACUAAAAACAAAGUCAGUUCAACGAAAACCUGAAUUCCAUCAGGUUAUUACCUACUAAGUCAUUUGGUGGAAAUGGUGGCAUGUGUGUCCUCUGAAUGGAAUAAUAAGUUUAACAAAUGUUCCUAGUUUGUUGUUAACUUAUCUCUGUGGGCAGUGAUUGCAGCAGACCUAGGGACUAGCAAGUCUAUUGGUGGAAUUUCAUUGGAUACUAACAAUGUGGCAAUUGUACUUUCUUCGUUCAGAAUUUUCAUUUUCCUGAAAGACUUCUCCUCAUUCACUGGGAAACCCUUUAUUUUCAUUUAGUUGUCUGAUGGUCAAGUGCUUCUGUCUAGAGUCUCUGGUCAAGUAAAUUCCAUUAGGUGGGAACUUUUAGGGUGGAAAUUAUUAGUUAGGACCAGAUAUAAUGCUUCUUACAGAGACCAACCAUUUUGCUUGUAAUGAAAGUCUGAAACUGUUUUAAGCGUGGUUUUCAGAACCGGACCACUGACCGGUCUGUUCUAGUUUUGAAAUGGGUUUACUUAAAAAGAAAAAAAAAAAAAAAA
rnacentral:misc_RNA from 1 species